rnacentral:rRNA from 2 species
GAAAAGCCCGCUCGCCGGAAGACCAAGGGUUCCUGUCCAACGUUAAUCGGGGCAGGGUGAGUCGACCCCUAAGGCGAGGCCGAAAGGCGUAGUCGAUGGGAAACGGGUUAAUAUUCCCGUACUUGGUGUUACUGCGAAGGGGGGACGGAGAAGGCUAUGUUGGCCGGGCGACGGUUGUCCCGGUUUAAGCGUGUAGGUGUGUGUUCCAGGUAAAUCCGGUUCACUUUAACACUGAGGCGUGACGACGAGGCACUACGGUGCUGAAGCAACAAAUGCCCUGCUUCCAGGAAAAGCCUCUAAGCAUCAGGUAACAUCAAAUCGUACCCCAAACCGACACAGGUGGUCAGGUAGAGAAUACCAAGGCGCUUGAGAGAACUCGGGUGAAGGAACUAGGCAAAAUGGUGCCGUAACU